UACGGGGGGGGGCAAGCGUUGUUCGGAAUUACUGGGCGUAAAGGGCUCGUAGGUGGCCAACUAAGUCAGACGUGAAAUCCCCCAGGCUCAACUUGGGAACUGCGUCUGAUACUGGAUGGCUUGAAUUCGGGAGAGGGAUGCAGAAUUCCAGGUGUAGCGGUGAAAUGCGUAGAUAUCUGGAGGAAUACCAGUGGCGAAGGCGGCAUCCUGGACCGAUAUUGACACUGAUGAGCGAAAGCUAGGGGAGCAAACGGG
rnacentral:rRNA from 1 species